GAGGCCCAGCAGCCAGCCUGGCCAAAGACAGACGCUUCAGUCUCAGGUCAUGAAUAUAGGGCCAUCUGAAUUAGAGAUGAACAUGGGGGGACCUCAGUAUAGCCAACAACAAGCUCCUCCAAAUCAGACUGCCCCAUGGCCUGAAAGCAUCCUGCCUAUAGACCAGGCGUCUUUUGCCAGCCAAAACAGGUGAGUCCUGAGCACCUAGGGUAGCCAGUUAUUUUAUACCUGUCCAGAAAUUAAUCUUUUCCUUUGGAGUAGUCGGUGCCUGACCAGUUUUCAUUUAUUGGUACUAUAUUAUCUACUGUGCAGUGCAUGAAGAGGAGGGGUGAAUCCAGAAAUCAGUAUGACCUAGGACAUACCUUUAAAGGAGUUACAAAUUAAAUGGAAAAUAACAUAUGUAUGCUGAUAACUGUAAU
rnacentral:lncRNA from 1 species